rnacentral:rRNA from 1 species
UACGAAGGGGGCUAGCGUUGCUCGGAAUCACUGGGCGUAAAGCGCACGUAGGCGGAUCUUUAAGUCAGGGGUGAAAUCCUGGAGCUCAACUCCAGAACUGCCUUUGAUACUGGGGAUCUCGAGUCCGGAAGAGGUAAGUGGAACUCCGAGUGUAGAGGUGAAAUUCGUAGAUAUUCGGAAGAACACCAGUGGCGAAGGCGGCUUACUGGUCCGGUACUGACGCUGAGGUGCGAAAGCGUGGGGGAGCAAACAGG